rnacentral:rRNA from 1 species
ACUCGACUCGACUCCAUGAAGUCGGAAUCGCUAGUAAUCGUGGAUCAGAAUGCCACGGUGAAUACGUUCCCGGGCCUUGUACACACCGCCCGUCACACCAUGGGAGUGGGUUGCAAAAGAAGUAGGUAGCUUAACCUUCGGGAGGGCGCUUACCACUUUGUGAUUCAUGACUGGGGUGAAGUCGUAACAAGGUAACCGUAGGGGAACCUGCGGUUGGAUCACCUCCUUA